GACCGCCCUGUCCUCAACUUUGUGUUUAAACGAAGAGCGUUAGUCUAAGGGGCGGGGCAAGGGCCGGCUCUCCCAUCAACCCACGAGGGACCCGGAGGAUGGUGAGACACCGCCCCGCUCUCGACUUUAGCCAAUGAGAACCCGAGCCCAGAUUUUAGCCAAUGAAGAGUCAGGAGGAAGCCAGGUUCCGCUUCGUAGGUUUUAGCCAAUAAGGAACCAGGACUGGGCCGGGUCUCCGCCCCCUUCCUCGGAUUCCACCCAAUGAUGACUCGGGGGCCGGGCCCGAGGCAUACUUCCGGCCCGCCUGCUUUUACGGGAAGGUCCGGCCUUGAAUUGAUUCCCGGGGCCCGGAGCCCACCAAGCGGUUUCCGCGCGCGUCUCACCCCACUCUGCGGCCGCGCCAGGAUGGGGUCAUCAGCGGCGCGUGGAGGCCGCGGGGAGUGCGAUUCGGAAAUGGCGAGCGGGAGGGAACUGCGCUUUGAAUGCUCGCCCCCCCUCCACAAACAGGAAAUGCCGAAGCGCCCUCCGCCCGGGAGCUCGGGGCAGAACGCGCGCGUCCGUCCCUCAUUUCUUAGACAGUUAUUAAGCGCCGACUGUGUACAGGCACUACUCACAACCUAACUGGGGAGAGAAGCAUUACGUAAGCGGCUGUACGGGAGACCCUGAAGCAGGAGCACAGCCCAUUCUAGGAAGUGACAAAAGAUGAAACUAUAGGAAGCGAAGGGGGGGAGAUGAGGGGUCAGAGGUCGACAAAGGCCAGACAGAUCCUAAAAGGGAUGUCCCUAACGGGUUGGCUUUUUCUGAGUGCGAUGGACAACCCUUGAAGGGUUUUAUGCAGGGAGUGCCAGGAUCCGAUUUACGCAUUUAAAAGCCUGCCUGUUGUGUAGAGAGGGCAAAAGUGGACUCAGAUAAACCAACUGAGAGGCUGCAAAAUCCAGACUCAGUUGGGAGGCCAAAACUUUGAAAGAAAGGCCCCCUCUGUGAGUACAAUGAGGAAUCAACCAGCAGCAAAUGAUGGACGAGAUAGAGGAACCACAUAUUUCAGCUGGGAGCAGCACAUGAGGAUUUAGCAGUCCAUGACCUGCCUUCUCCAGUGGGAGCUUAUGCAGUCUACCAGCAAAGAAGAUUCUGUGCUGUGAGGCCAGGAUAAUUCUCCAGAAUUUUCCAUGCCUUGGGAUGAAAUUUCUUUUCAAACUUCUUAAUGUCCUUUUGUUCUCAUUCCGUGCUCAACAAGCAGUCUUCUAGUGGUUGGUUUAAUUUUCCAGAAAGGAGAAUCUGAUUAACAGAUGUAUAUUUUACCCCUGCCUACAAUUGUAGAUUAAUAAAUUGGUGUGUUUACAUCGGA